rnacentral:rRNA from 1 species
AUGCAUGUCUAAGUACAUGUAGCUUGCCUACGAAACCGCGUAUGGCUCAUUACAACAGCUAUGAUUCUAUUGAUCAUGACACUUUCCUAUAUGGAUAACUGCGGUAAUUCUGGAGCUAAUACAUGCAUAAAAGCGGGGUCACUCGUUGGCACCGUGCACUUAUUAGAACAAAACCAACUUGUUGAUUUUGUUGACUCGGAAUAAUUAUUACGCUGAUUGCAUGGCCUUUGUGCCGGCAAUGUGUCAAAGCUGUGUCUGCCCUAUCACACUUCCAACGGCAGUGUAUUGUCCUGACGUGGUUGUGACGGGUAACGGAGAAUUAGGGUUCGACUCCGGAGAAAUAGCCUGAGAAACGGCUUUUACAUCCAAGGAAGGCAGCAGGCGCGAAAAUUACCCACUCUUAGUACGAGGAGGUAGUGACGAGAAGUGACAAGAUCUGUCCCUUCGGGGGCGGGUCAUUGGAAUGGUUUGAAUUUACAACCUUCCUAGAUUAUCUAUGAGAGGGCAAGUCUGGUGCCAGCAGCCGCGGUAAUUCCAGCUCUCAUACUGCAUUGAAUCGUUGUUGCGGUUAAAAAGCUCGUAGUUGGAUCUGUACACGGUGUCUGUGGACUGCUCCUAGUGGGUGGUUCUGCAGCACGUGUUUAAUGGUCGGUGUGUGGCGGAUCCCUCGGGGUUCGUCGCUGCUGACGAGUUUACUUUGAAUAAAUCAGAGUGCUCAAAACAGGCGUAUGCUUGUAUGGUUUUGCAUGGAAUAAUGGAAUACGACACUGCGUGUGAUUGUUUUUCAUUGGUUUUGCUCACCAGUGUAAUGAUUAAAAGGGACAAACGGGGGCAUUCGUAUCGUCGGGCGAGAGGUGAAAUUCGUGGACCCUGGCGAGACGUACUACAGCGAAAGCAUUUGCCAAGAAUGUUUUCAUUAAUCAAGAACGAAAGUCAGAGGAUCGAAGGCGAUCAGAUACCGCCCUAGUUCUGACCGUAAACUAUGCCAUCUAGCGAGUCGCAUGCGGAUUUUCUUAUUCGCCUCUGUGACGAGCUUUCCGGAAACGAAAGUCUUUCGGUUCCGGGGGAAGUAUUCUCGCAAGUGACAAACUUAAAGGAGUUGACGGAAGGUCACCACCAGAAAUGGAGCCUGCGGCUUAAUUUGACUCAACACGGGAAACCUUACCUGGUCUAGACACUGCUAUGAAUGACAGAUUGACAGCUCUUUCCUGAUUCGGUGAUUGGUGGUGCAUGGCCGUUCUUAGUUCGUGGAGUGAUUUGUCUGGUUAAUUCCGAUAACGAACGAGAUUGGAGCUUGAUUAAAUAGGUCAGUAUACUAUUGCUGGAACUGAACCUUCUUAAUGGGAUUUGCAGCUUUAUUCUAGUUGUAUGAGACCCAGCAAUAACAGGUCUGUGAUGCCCUAAGAUGUCUGGGGCCGCACGCGCGCUACAAUGAAAAUUGCAGCGCGCUGUGCCCAUGCGAGAGAUCGUAUGGUAAACGAGUCAAAUUAUCCCGUAUUUGGGAUCAGAGAUUGCAAUUAUUCUCUGUGAACAAGGAACUUCAAGUAAGUGUGAGUCAUCAGCUCACGCUGAUUACGUCCCUGUCCUUUGUACACACCGCCCGUCGCUGCCCGGGGACUGAGUUGAUUCGAGAAGACCGUGGAUUGUUGCUUAGGCGUGUCCUUCGGGGCCCCUUUGUGGCGAAAAGCGGUUUGAUCGCGUUGGCUUGAACCGGGCAAAAGUCGUAACAAGGUGGCC